UCCGGAAGCGUGCGAGGCACUGCCCAGAGACGUAUUACCGUCCUUACGUGCGGGAUUAACCGAAAAUAACACCCCAAUGUACAAUCGAAAUUCCUCCUCUUGCGAGCACGAUCGUGAAGGAGAUUGAUGAAGACUCUUUCAACACCCGAUGACAAAGAGAUCAAAGCCAAAUAGAUCAAAACAAUAAAAGAAAAAUAUAUGUCUUCCAAUGUUUCUCUUUGCAAUGUACAUAUAACGAACAGUGGAAAGAGUACUAUAUAAAAGGGUGUGAAUAGAACGUUGGGGA
rnacentral:lncRNA from 1 species